rnacentral:rRNA from 1 species
GUGGGGAAUAUUGGACAAUGGGCGAAAGCCUGAUCCAGCCAUGCCGCGUGUGUGAAGAAGGUCUUCGGAUUGUAAAGCACUUUAAGUUGGGAGGAAGGGCAGUAAGCUAAUACCUUGCUGUUUUGACGUUACCAACAGAAUAAGCACCGGCUAACUUCGUGCCAGCAGCCGCGGUAAUACGAAGGGUGCAAGCGUUAAUCGGAAUUACUGGGCGUAAAGCGCGCGUAGGUGGUUCAGCAAGUUGAAGGUGAAAUCCCCGGGCUCAACCUGGGAACUGCCUCCAAAACUACUGAGCUAGAGUACGGUAGAGGGUAGUGGAAUUUCCUGUGUAGCGGUGAAAUGCGUAGAUAUAGGAAGGAACACCAGUGGCGAAGGCGACUACCUGGACUGAUACUGACACUGAGGUGCGAAAGCGUGAGGAGCAAACAGGAUUAGAAACCCCGGUAGUCC